AGUGAACGCUGGCGGUAGGCCUAACACAUGCAAGUCGAACGGCAGCACAGUAAGAGCUUGCUCUUACGGGUGGCGAGUGGCGGACGGGUGAGGAAUACAUCGGAAUCUACUUUUUCGUGGGGGAUAACGUAGGGAAACUUACGCUAAUACCGCAUACGACCUACGGGUGAAAGCAGGGGAUCUUCGGACCUUGCGCGAUUGAAUGAGCCGAUGUCGGAUUAGCUAGUUGGCGGGGUAAAGGCCCACCAAGGCGACGAUCCGUAGCUGGUCUGAGAGGAUGAUCAGCCACACUGGAACUGGGACACGGUCCAGACUCCUACGGGAGGCAGCAGUGGGGAAUAUUGGACAGUGGGCGCAAGCCUGAUCCAGCCAUACCGCGUGGGUGAAGAAGGCCUUCGGGUUGUAAAGCCCUUUUGUUGGGAAAGAAAAGCAGCAGGUUAAUACCCCGCUGUUCUGACGGUACCCAAAGAAUAAGCACCGGCUAACUUCGUG
rnacentral:rRNA from 1 species